rnacentral:rRNA from 1 species
AUUGAACGCUGGCGGCAGGCCUAACACAUGCAAGUCGAACGAGUGGCGGACGGGUGAGUAAUGUCUGGGAAACUGCCUGAUGGAGGGGGAUAACUACUGGAAACGGUAGCUAAUACCGCAUACCAUCAGAUGUGCCCAGAUGGGAUUGGCUUGUUGGUGGGGUAACGGCUCACCAAGGCGACGAUGCCUAGCUGGUCUGAGAGGAUGACCAGGCACACUGGAACAGAGACAAGGUGCAGACGCCUACGGGAGGACGCAGGGGGGAAGAUUGCACAAUGGGCGAAAGACUGAUGCAGCCAUGCCGCGUGUAGGAAGAAGGCCUUCGGGUUGUAAAGUACUUUCAGCGGGGAGGCGGUACCCGCAGAAGAAGCACCGGCUAACUCCGUGCCAGCAGCCGCGGUAAUUC